rnacentral:rRNA from 1 species
AUUGAACGCUGGCGGCAGGCCUAACACAUGCAAGUCGAACGAGUGGCGGACGGGUGAGUAAUGUCUGGGAAACUGCCUGAUGGAGGGGGAUAACUACUGGAAACGGUCGCUAAUACCGCCUACCAUCAGAUGUGCCCAGAUGGGAUUAGCUUGUUGGUGGGGUAACGGCUCACCAAGGCGACGACCCCUAGCUGGUCUGCGAGGAUGACCGGGGAAACGGGAACUGUGUAAAGGUCCAGACUCCUACGGGAGGCGGCCGUGGGGAAUAUUGCACAAUGGGCGAAGGCCUGAUGAAACCAAGCCGGGUGGAUGAAGAGGGAAUAAGUGUUGUAAAGUACUUUCAGCGGGGAGGCGUUAGCCUUAGAAGAAGCACCGGCUAACUCCGAGCCAGCAGCCGCGGUAAUUC